rnacentral:sRNA from 1 species
UGCUUCCAACUUCAGGCCCCCUACUGUUC